UACGUAGGGGGCAAGCGUUGUCCGGAUUUAUUGGGCGUAAAGAGCGUGUAGGCGGCCAUACAGGUCCGUUGUGAAAACUGGAGGCUUAACCUCCAGACGUCGAUGGAAACCGUAUGGCUAGAGUCCGGAAGAGGAGAGUGGAAUUCCUGGUGUAGCGGUGAAAUGCGCAGAUAUCAGGGAGAACACCCGUGGCGAAGGCGGCUCUCUGGGACGGUACUGACGCUGAGACGCGAAAGCGUGGGGAGCGAACAGG
rnacentral:rRNA from 1 species